rnacentral:rRNA from 1 species
UACGGAGGGUGCAAGCGUUAUCCGGAUUCACUGGGUUUAAAGGGUGCGUAGGCGGGUUGGUAAGUCCGUGGUGAAAUCCCCAAGCUUAACUUGGGAACUGCCGUGGAUACUAUCAAUCUUGAAUAUCGUGGAGGUAAGCGGAAUAUGUCAUGUAGCGGUGAAAUGCUUAGAUAUGACAUAGAACACCAAUUGCGUAGGCAGCUUACUACACGAUCAUUGAUGCUGAGGCACGAAAGCGUGGGGAGCAAACAGG